rnacentral:rRNA from 1 species
AUGGCGGAGAUUGUGAUUCUUCUAGCCAUUAAAAAGAUUGGAACCGCCUUGGCAAAUGGAGUGGCAGACCAGGCCAGCACGUUGUUUGCGAAGAACGGGAAGCAAAUACUAGCGCUACAGGGCAGCAUGGGUCGUGUUGCGAGGGAGCUUCGAGUAAUGCAUGAUGUUCUCUGUCAAAUGGAUAUCCGAAACCGCAACAAUCAAGUAUAUGAGGGCUGGUUGGAGGAGGUACGGAAAGUAGCACAUGUGAUGGAGGACAUGGUGGAUGAGUACUUGUAUCUUGUUGGUCACGAACAUGAUACGGGAUGUUGCUUUUACCUGAAGAAAGGGUUUACGAAACCAAGAUAUCUGCUUUCUUUGAACCGGAUUGCUUUCAAGGUGAAGGAAAUAGAGAAAGACCUAACACACCUGUCUGAGACAAAAAAUCGUUGGGUUCACAUGAUAAACAAUGGGGAUACUAGCAGCUCAAGUUACAUUGUCAAGAGGUCCAAAGAUCUAGCAAACAUUUCACGCUCCCUUGAUGAAGAGGAUCUAGUCGGUGUGGACAAAAACAGAGAUAAACUUGAGCAGUGGUUAUUGAGUGACGAUUUGGAACGCUCUGUGAUAGCACUGCUUGGAAUGGGAGGGCUUGGUAAAACAUCUUUAGCUGCAAAUGUCUACAGGAAGCAUAGAGAGAAAUUCCAGUGCCAUGCUUGGGUCUCCAUCUCUCAAACUUAUUCUACAGAACAUGUCUUGAGGAAUAUAAUCAAGGAACUUUCCCGAGAUAAAGUCAGUGUGCUAUCUAACACUGCGGCCAUGGACAUCACAUGCCUUGAAGAAACGCUGAGGAAAUUUCUAGAGCAACAGAAAUAUUUGAUCAUAUUGGAUGAUGUUUGGACUCCAGAAGCAUUUGAUGACUUGUCUAGGGUGCUUAUUAAUAAUAAAAAGGGCAGCAGACUGAUGAUCACAACAAGGGAAGGCGAUGUUGCUGCACUUGCCUCUCAAGGACAUACUUUAACACUGAAACCUUUACCAGAAGAUAAGGCAUGGGAUCUCUUUUGUAGAAAAGCCUUUCCAAGAGAUACAAAUCAUGAAUGUCCUGCGGAGUUGUAUCCUUUGUCCGAGCAAAUAGUUAGCAAGUGCAAAGGCUUGCCUCUUGUUAUUGUGUUAGUUGGUAGCCUCUUGCGUGUGCGUGAGAAAACUGUGGAAGAAUGGAGAAGAAUACAUGCCCAAUUAAGUUGGGAGCUAAUCAACAAUUCAAGACUCGAUCACAUAAGGAAUGUUUUGCAUCUGAGCUUCAUCUACCUUCCAACACACUUAAAAUGCUGUUUCUUGCAUUGCAGCUUAUUUUCAGAAGACUAUUGUUUCAAAAGGAAACAACUUAUACGGUUAUGGACAGCAGAGGGGUUCAUUGAAGAGAGGGGUGAAAGCACAUUAGAAGAAGUGGCAGAAGGCUAUCUGAAGGAGUUAAUUGACAGAAACAUGCUAGGACUUGUCAAGAGAAACUCAUUUGGUAGGAUGAAAGAAUUCAAAAUGCACGAUAUCUUACGUGAACUGGCACUUGACUUGUGCCAGAAGAACUGUUUUGGUGUUACAUAUGAGGAUAAGCAUGGGAGGUCUUUUGAGAGGAAUGGACGUCGAUUGGUAUUGCACAAACAAAAGAAGGAUAUUCAGCAGUCAUUUUCUAGUGUGCGCCGACUUCGAACAUUCGUUAUGCUGGACGAUAGUAUGGUAACAUUUACUCUACUGCCUCUGCUAUGUAAGGAGUCAAGAUAUAUGACAGUGCUAGAAUUAAGUGGUCUACCCAUUGAGAAUAUUCCAGAUGCUAUUGGAGAUCUUUUUAAUCUCCGCCAUUUGGGUUUGCGUGAUUCAAAAGUGAAGAUGCUCCCGAGUUCUGUUGAGAAGCUUUCAAAUUUGUUGACACUGGACCUUCUUAGAUCUGAUGUACAUGAGCUGCCUAGUGGGAUUGUGAAACUGAAGAAGCUUAGGCACUUAUUUGUUGAGAAAAGAAUUAAUACAGAUUUGAGAGGGAUUAAAUGUUUCGGUGGUGUGCAUGUCCCUAAUGGUCUUGGAAAUCUAACAAACCUGCAAACGCUACAAGCAUUGGUAGCACAUCAUGAGUCUAUUAGACAUUUACGGCAGCUGAGGCAACUGAGAAGCUUGAGGUUAUUGGAUGUGAAGGGAAGCUAUUGUGGACGUAUCAGCGAGUCUCUAGUUCAGAUGCAGUGUUUGUCCCAUCUUGAUGUGAAUGCAAGUGAUGAGAAUGAGGUUCUCUCGUUGAAUGCCCCCCUGCCAAACCUGCAAAGGCUACGUUUGGGUGGACGACUGGCGGAAGGGGCGUUGGACGCGUCUCCUCUCUUCCAAGCUGCUGGGGGGCAGAACUUGCAUGUUUUGAAUCUAUAUUGGUCACAACUGAGAGAAGACCCCCUGCCAUCCCUUUCACGGCUGUCGAAUUUGACGCAUCUGGAAUUCACCAGAGCAUACAGCGGAGAGCAGCUAUCAUUUCUCACGGGAUGGUUUCCCAAGCUAAAGAUUCUCUAUCUGAUAGACCUGCCUAAUCUGAAUUGGCUAGAGAUACAGCAAGGUGCCAUGGCGAGCCUGGAAAGAUUAUACUUUGUCAACCUCAGCAGCAUGAUGGUGGUCCCAGCUGGCAUUGAGUUCCUCAUGCCCCUCCAGUCUCUAGGCUUCUUUGAAAUCACUAGUGAUUUCUUUUGGUUGCUGGAUCAAUGUUCUGCAAUUCUAGGGACACAGUGGCGGUAUACUCUCCGAGAUUGA